GUGCUGUCAAAUUAUUUAGACAAAAUUUUGUAUUUAAGAAUUGAAUGCUUCUUUUUGUAAAUUUAUUGGGGUGUAAAAGCGUUGACCGCAGUACAUUUUGUAUGAAGCGCGGAAGCGCUUCAUUCUAAAAAUGUACGCACGGUCAACGCUUUAACAACCCUAUAAAGUUACAAAAAUAAGCAUUCAAUACUUAUAAUUACAUUUUUUAGCUAUGAUUAUGAAAACACGAAUUUUAUAAAUUUUAUUAUUUAAUUCACCUGUGCACUUUAUUGUUGGAGCAUGUGUUAUCAUGAAUGAAAAGUUGUAUUGAGCAAUGCAACUGCUUAUGGAAUAACACGUGAUGUGCAGUUAGCCAAUCAGAAUAAAAUAUUAUAAUGAAACAUACAUCUAAUGUAAUUAUAUACAAAUGCAUGCAUAAUCUUCAAUCAUGCAUGUUUCAUUAUUUUAUUCCCAUAUAAAGAUUUAUGACAGUUGUUUGAACUUAUAAAAGAGAUGCUCCAUAUUGCUUGAAACCAUAGCCUUUUAAAAAAUUGGAUUUGAAAUAAAAGUUGAAAUUUAAUUUUGAACAUAUUUGAGUAUCCUGUAUUCAGGCACCGUUAAUGCUACAUCAAAUCUGUUGACAUAAGGAACACAAAACUUAAUCUAAUGAUAGACAUUGUACAUGUAUAAACAAUAUUUUUUCAUUUGGAUUUUUCUUAAAAAUUGGUGACCAAAGGAUUAUUGUGUAUGAAAUAUUGU
rnacentral:lncRNA from 1 species